UUACAUCUUACGUGCUCUGGAAACAGCUAAGUGCUGCAGAUUUGAUACUUUAAAAGAGCUCACUUUCCCAGUGCAGUAACCUGCUUUAAGCCCAACCAGCUGGAGGGAGGCCCCGAGCCCCCCGAAUGUGAACAAUGCUUCAAACCUGUUUUAUAACACUCUGCUGCAGCCAUCGCAUCUGCCCAACUGCAAACGUCAGUGGAGCUCGCUCACACUUCCCCUGGGCUUCCAGGGAAGGGGAACCAGCAAGGCGUGAAACUCAAACAAAGCGUCCAGAUCAGCUGGAAAGGAAGAGGAAACUGAUAAGAAACGUGGAGUAAUCGGGGUCACAUGGAGAAAACACCUGCCCUGAGCACUUGAAUGGAGCUGCUGAGCUGCCAUCGUUGCCGUUCCCCAUGCAGCUGUCGGUCCUUAACUCCAGCUCCUCCUCUGGCUGCUGUUGCACACCCACAUCUGGUGCAAACCAGCAGGAAGAAGCAACUGAGGGCUGUCAGAGCCCAAGAGGAGCAUGGAGAUCAGAGGCUUUGGAUGCUCUCUUUCCUCCUUUUGGUGGGGACAGCAGGACCAGCACCCACUUCUUGAAACCUCCUCCCACAGGAGCUGGACCAUCUGCUGUGCAGCUGCAGCAUUUGCUGCCCAUGUGUGCGCCUCUGCCGCUUGUCCUCCCCUCUGCAAUGAUGAAUUGGCCACUCACGGGGGAAGGAGAGACACCAGAACACAUGUAAACACGAGGAAAAACUGCAGGGAUCAGCUGGCUCCUCUACUGGGACGUGAUUUGUUUCGGGUACCUAAAUGCAGGUUGACAUGCUGAUGACACGAGGCUAAUUGUGGCUGGAGGCGUAUUGCGCUGCCGCCAAGCAUUGCUGGCAUCCCAGCAGAGCCACGCGGCUGUGCCAACAUCUAGCUUGCCCCAGGCAGCGCAGGGAGGGCUGAGCGUUUGAUCUAAGCCCUUCCCUAUACCUCCCUCUGCAUGCCGUGCUUCAAACCCUCGUACUUGGUUGGAAAGCAGAACUGAUCCUGCACGGCGAGUGCCAGGCGUUGUGCAGCCGAUCCCCUCUGCUCUUGGCCAGACCCAGAGUCUGAACUGUCUGAAGCGACAGGCUGUGCGCUACAGCAAGUCAGAAAACAAGCUUUGCAAACCAUUAUGGUGGUUUUCCUGAUCUCCUCGAACAUCUCCUUGCUGCUUGCUUGCAGCCUGGAAGUUUCCGGCCAGGAAAGUACUCCCAUUUUUCUUUUCUCCCCUUUCACUUCUUGUGGUCACAAAACACAGAAGUGUCUAGGAUCUGUGCUCGCUGCGCUUUUCCAUUUCCACCCGCAGCUUUUCCAAACCUCUUCACCUCUGGAAUGGCUACAGAAGCAGCAAAAGGAAAACUGAAACCCAAGAACGCGCCGCAGCCCAGCUGUGCCAACUGUGAGGACGCUCGGAGUGUCAGUGGGACAGAGGAAAAACUCCUUUAACGCUGCUUAGAGAGAAGCAGAUACUCUCCCUGUGAGAAGCGGCUGCCUGGCCCUGCCUCCCAGCUAGGCUCAGCCCCACAGCCGGAGGGCAUCACACCAUGGGGCAGUGGCAGGCACGGUGCCCACAUCUGGCACCCCCUAUUUUUUGGUGUCUGCUGAUACCCAUCCCGGUGUGGAGGUUCCCAGAUGGGAUCGAAGAAUCACAGCACGAAUGGGGUUGGCAGAGUCCUGGCAGGGCCUGCAGAGACAGCAGAGAUUCCUCUGCGACCCACCUCACCACUUCCAUGGGGCAGAGAAGUUGUGUGAAAGGUCGGGGGUGGGACGGUACUCGUGUGCAGCACGGACAGGAUGAAUGCGCUCGAGCCACGGCACGAGAGCCGCAGGAACCUCAUGGCAUGUGUCACAGAUGGAUGUGUCCCAGGUUACACGCACGCCAUAUGGCCCUGCAUCAGCACCGAGGGCUUUUCAAAGAGCGUCCCAUUCGCAGUAACCAGCCUGGAGGCUGAUGCUAUCCAGAUGAUACUGUUGUCUUUGGAAAGACUCCCAAACACUUGAAAAACACCUUCAGCCAUACUCCAACGCAGCAGAGCAGGAUUGAGAUUAGAAAUUGCGCUUGACAGUGUUCAGUCUGUCCAAUGGGAUUAAAACCAGAUCCUGUACACGUCUCUGCAAUUACACACCUCCCCUCUGUAGAAGAAAUGCUUUCUCUUUCAUCUUACAUCACGGGUGUGCACAUUUUAUUCCUGCUUAAUCUUCAGCCAUAGGGCCUCUGAGAGCACUUCAGUGCAAUCUCAAACUAUUCUGGACAGAUGUUGCACAAACUAGUUUCAAAACAGUGGUGGUCUUGAUCAUGACUAGCCCAGAAUUUAAUGCUCUUGGAUUCUGGAUAUCCCACUGAGACAGCACACAGAUGUCUCACACUGAGGAUUUUGAGUUAGACUUCCUCAAAUCCAUGAAGGCUGUGCUGAUAAGGCCACGCAUAUGUGUCAGCGCUGUAACAGAAAGCACUUCACAGCGAGAACUGACUGAGUUCCAUAUGGGCUACGGAACAGUGGAGAGGUUGGGAUCAUCCAUCUGAAGUGGGGACACAACUCUCAGAGGAGAUGGCUGGCCACUGACCUGAACCACCUCAGUGCAGCUGGCUGAGAAUCAGCGUGGUUAUUUCUAGUUCAUGGCCCACAUCCCAUGAAAAUGCAAUAGAAGCCACUGGUCUCUCCAGACUUAUUUUGCCAAGAUGCCCAAGGAGUUGUCAUGGAAUCAGAGAAUCAUUAAGACUGGAAAAGACCUCUAAAAUAAUCUAGUCCCCCUACCACCAAUACAAGCCAGGAUGCCAUUGGCCUUCUCGGCCACCUGGGCACACUGCUGGCUCAUGUUCAACCAGAUGUCAGCUCACACCUCCAGGUCCUUUUCCUCCACACAGCUUCCAGCCACCUGCCCCAAGCCUGUAGCACCACAUGGGGCUGCUGUGACCCAAGAGCAGGACCCGGCACAUGGUCUUGUUGCAGCUCAUCCCAUUGGCCUCAGCCCACUGAUCCGCCUGUCCACAUCCCUCUGUGGGGCCUUCCUACCCUCACGCAGAUCAGCUCUUCCUCCCUACUUGGUGUCGUCUGCAAAUUUACUGUGGAUGCACCCAUUCCCUCAUUCAGAACAUCAAUAAAGACAUUAAACAGGGCUGUCCCCAAUACUGAUGCCUGGGGAAAACAACUGGUGACUGGCUGCCAGCUGGAUGGAACUCCAUUCACCACCACGCUCUGGGCAGCAGUGAAGAGUACACCUAUCCCCACCAUGCUGCCAUUUUCUCCAGGAGAAUGCUGUAGGAGACAGUGCAACAGGCAUAGCGUGGCACUCAGAGCUGGAUGCUCCGUGCACGAGGUCCCUCUGCCACAGUUAACAGCACUGAGAUGGAGGCAUGGAGCUGUGCAGAGGUGAAGGAAGAGUCCGGGGCGGUGCUGCAGGGGUGCCAGGAGGAAAGAAGAAAUUGCCUCAAGAGGAUAAAGCUUUUGAGGCAUGCACAGCAAAUUGGAGGCUGUUGAGUGAUGAAAGGAUGGGCAUCUGGGUCUCUAACUGAGCCCAGAAAUUAAUGAGGAUCAGAAAACCAAAGCUGAGAGAGAUAGCGAGGGAAUCAUAGCUUACACUUUCGAAAACAACCCGAUUUUGCCAGCCUGGAGAACAUUUCUGGGUUGUCCUGCCAGCCCUAGGUAAAUGAAAACCAUGGCCAAGCAGAGCACAAAUCUAAGUGUGCUGCCCUGCUCUUGGCCAGAGCUGCCCUAAUCAUGCUGGGCAGAUCCAUUUAUCAGGGCUGAACCACAGAAAAGAUAGAAUAAAAUAAAAUUAAAAAAAAAUGGAAAAGAAAACAAACUCCAAACAAGGACUCCUUGCAGAGAGCAAAAUCUCUGUUCUUUGUGGGCACCGUCGGGCAGCGGUACAUGUGAGGGCUGGAAAAUCCCCUUGGUCACCGCCAAACCACCCUUAAGCCAAACCAAGCAAAGCACCGUGGGAUGGGUCUGUGCAAGAUGGAACGAGAAGCAGCUUUUUUUUUUUUUUUUGUCUGUGUUAAAUUUGGUGUGAAAAGGGCAUGCUCUUCUCUGUCUGGCAGGGGUGAGGGUUUGGAGCAAGUGGCAGGGGUCAGAUAGGUCAGAUGUUUCCAUGUAGGAUGUUCCAUUUGGAUCCUCACCGGUUCGCCUGGAUGCAGACCAAGCCUUCCUGCAUGUGCGCUCCUAAUGUCUUAUCUGGGAGGUGCUUCCCAGGGCUCCCUGGGGCCGUGCUGCACAUCCAAAAUAUUUCACAGAAGAGAUACUGCAAAUAUUUGAGAUACUGAAGGCGGUGGAGUUCAUAGGGAUUGUAUUAUACUAGAGGGAAAAAAUGCCAGAAGAGCAGAACCGGAGUCUUGAGAAGACUUACAAUAGGGAAACACUGCAGGUUUAAGAAAUAACCUACAAGGAAAAGUCACUGAGAGAAACUGAGCCCAAAGACGUUGUGUAGCUACAGGCGGAAGUUUAUUCAAGGAUCCCGGGAUGCCUUUCCUCGGAAGCAGGAUGAGACUUGAGCAGGACAGAUGCAUGUAGAGGCACGCAUCACGCUGGCCUGGGUUCACCGUGGAUGAACAAUAAAGCAUCAAAUAAUGCGAGACAUCAAAUACCAGAAGCUGUCAAACGAAACAGAUGAGGAUAGCAAUUCCAGAAAUUAGAGCCACGAUCCAGCACUGGCAUCAAUUCAUUUGUAUAAUUAAUGACACGUUAGUUCUCAAUUAUCAUUACUGCAAUCCAGAAAUAGUGUUAUUAGAGACUACGACGCCCAGUCAUGUAAUGGCGUACAUAAAAGCUGUACUCGCUAGACAUGACAUACCUACUGUGCUGGCGACAAACAACGACCCGUCAUUCCCUGCUAGGAGUUCGAGUUUCUGCAGGGAGCAGGCUAAUGAACCUUAGCUUAAUGAGGUAAUGGAAAACUCUGUCAAAUGGUUGAGUGGAGGCUUGACAUACCUUCAGAUACCUGAGCCGUCCCAUCCAGAUCCCAUUCGCUGUUGCUAAAUUCCUGGAGAGCUGCCUUGAAACUGCACCCCUCACCCACAGGGGCUGAGAAACAGAUGAUCCGGUUACAAAACCACCGCAGCUGAAACCUGUGGAGCCUUGCGAGCACCGUGGUGAGCACCAGCAGGAGGCACGUUGAGGUGGGAGGCGUUUCUUCUGGGUUCUGCAGACCCCGUGUGUGGCUCAAAGGACGUGUCGCCCACCUGACGUUGUCCUGUUGGCAUGCUGGAUCUCCAUCCCAACCGCUCCCAGCCUUUUCCCUCUAAUGCUUGUUGCAAGUUGCUAGAUUAAAGACUUCUCUUAGACCCAACGGAGGCGGCUAUUAAUGAACACAUGCCUGUCCCUCCUGUCUCCUGCCCCUCCACAGAGAGCCCCGGGGAAUGUCCUCCCUUCUUUGCAUCUCCUGGAAUGGGCUGAGUCCCUG
ensembl:lncRNA